rnacentral:rRNA from 1 species
CCUACGGGAGGCAGCAGUGGGGAAUAUUGCACAAUGGGGGAAACCCUGAUGCAGCGACGCCGCGUGAGUGAAGAAGUAUCUCGGUACGUAAAGCUCUAUCAGCAGGGAAGAAAAUGACGGUACCUGACUAAGAAGCCCCGGCUAACUACGUGCCAGCAGCCGCGGUCAUACGUCGGGGGCAAGCGUUAUCCGGAUUUACUGGGGGUAAAGGGAGCGUAGACGGCAGCAUAAGUCUGGAGUGAAAUCCCGGGGCUUAACCCCGUGACGGCUUUGGAAACUGGGCAGCUGGAGUGCAGGAGGGGUAAGCGGAAUUCCUAGUGUAGCGGUGAAAUGCGUAGAUAUUAGGAAGAACACCGGUGGCGAAGGCGGCUUACUGGACUGUAACUGACGUUGAGGCUCGAAAGCGUGGGGAGCAAACAGGAUUAGAUACCCGAGUAGUC